GCAAACUAAAGUACAAACUAAGUAUGUAGGGCCUCUUUGCGGAGCUCUUGCGGACGCGGGUUCAAUUCCCGCCACCUCCACCA
rnacentral:tmRNA from 1 species